rnacentral:misc_RNA from 1 species
AGAUAACAAAAAAUUUAAAUGAAUGAACAAGGAACUACCAGCAGGAAAAGUAAUUAUGAAAUGCAGCAGAAAUUUGAAGCAUGACAUGUUAAUUCUAGAAUAAUAGGUAUUUGAUAAAUUAGAUAAGAACACAAGUAGUCAACUCCCAAAAGGGCUCCAAGACACAGUAAAGAUGUUGAAAAACAUUUUAAAAUAAGUGCAUUUAAAAAAGAAAUGUAAGGUUAACAUGUUAUAAAAGAAACAAUGAGAAUUGAGCAAUUUUUUUUUUACUGAUAUUGACAUAAAGGAAUCACCAUGGAAGUAUGGAUGCAAAACGAAAGGAUUAAGAUGUUGACAGAAUUCUCCCACCAAAAUAUUCAAACAGAUGAGCCUGAUUCACAGGUUAUUAUUUAUUCAAGAUGAAUCUCAAUGAGGUAUUUGAAAGUAAGUGAUGUGAUUAUACUUCAAAUUUACAUUGUGUAAAUAAAAAUAUGGGUUUGUAAAGGAUCAGUUACAUUGAUCCUUUUAAUCCAUUCCAUUAAUUUUACAGGCAAG